GUAGGUGGCAAGCGUUGUCCGGAAUUAUUGGGCGUAAAGCGCGCGCAGGCGGUUCUUUAAGUCUGAUGUGAAAGCCCACGGCUCAACCGUGGAGGGUCAUUGGAAACUGGAGAACUUGAGUACAGAAGAGGAAAGCGGAAUUCCACGUGUAGCGGUGAAAUGCGUAGAGAUGUGGAGGAACACCAGUGGCGAGGGCGGCUUUCUGGUCUGUAACUGACGCUGAGGCGCGAAAGCGUGGGGAGCAAACAGGAUUAGAUACCCUGGUAGUCCACGCCGUAAACGAUGAGUGCUAAGUGUUAGGGGGUUUCCGCCCCCCUUAGUGCUGCAGCUAACGCAUUAAGCACUCCGCCUGGGAGUAUGGCCGCAAGGCUG
rnacentral:rRNA from 1 species